GAUCCUGGCUCAGGAUGAACGCUAGCGACAGGCUUAACACAUGCAAGUCGAGGGGCAGCGGGGUGUAGCAAUACACCGCCGGCGACCGGCGCACGGGUGAGUAACGCGUAUGCAACUUGCCUAUCAGAGGGGGGAGUAACCCCGGCGAAAGUCGGACUAAUCCGCAUGAAGCAGGGAUCCCCGCAUGGGAAUAUUUGCUAAAGAUUCAUCGCUGAUAGAUAGGCAUGCGUU
rnacentral:rRNA from 1 species